rnacentral:rRNA from 1 species
CAAUAGCGUAUAUUUAAGUUGCUGCAGUUAAAAAGCUCGUAGUUGGAUUUCGGGUGGGAAUGGCCGGUCCGCCGUUUCGGUGUGCACUUGCUACGCCCACCUUGCUGCCGGGGACGUGCUCUUGAGUUCACGCUCGGGACACGGAGUCGGCGAGGUUACUUUGAGUAAAUUAGAGUGUUCAAAGCAGGCCUACGCUCUGAAUACAUUAGCAUGGAAUAACACGAUAGGACUCUGGCCUAUCUUGUUGGUCUGUAGGACCGGAGUAAUGAUUAAGAGGGACAGUCGGGGGCAUUCGUAUUUCAUUGUCAGAGGUGAAAUUCUUGAAUUUAUGAAAGACGAACUACUGCGAAAGCAUUUGCCAAGGAUGUUUUCAUUAA